rnacentral:rRNA from 1 species
GACGAACGCUGGCGGCGUGCUUAACACAUGCAAGUCGAACGGAAAGGCCCUGCUUUUGUGGGGUGCUCGAGUGGCGAACGGGUGAGUAACACGUGAGUAACCUGCCCUUGACUUUGGGAUAACUUCAGGAAACUGGGGCUAAUACCGGAUAGGAGCUCCUGCUGCAUGGUGGGGGUUGGAAAGUUUCGGCGGUUGGGGAUGGACUCGCGGCUUAUCAGCUUGUUGGUGGGGUAGUGGCUUACCAAGGCUUUGACGGGUAGCCGGCCUGAGAGGGUGACCGGCCACAUUGGGACUGGGAUACGGCCCAGACGCCUACGGGGGCAGCAGUGGGGAAUAUUGCACAAUGGGCGGAAGCCUGAUGCAGCAACGCCGCGUGCGGGAUGACGGCCUUCGGGUUGUAAACCGCUUUCGCCUGUGACGAAGCGUGAGUGACGGUAAUGGGUAAAGAAGCACCGGCUAACUACGUG